GGGCCGUUAGCUCAGCUGGUAGAGCAGCUCGCUCUUAACGAGACGGUCAUAGGUUCGAAUCCUAUACGGCCCA
rnacentral:tRNA from 1 species